rnacentral:rRNA from 1 species
AGCGAACGCUGGCGGCAGGCCUAACACAUGCCAGUCGAACGAACUCUUCGGAGUUAGUGGCGGACGGGUGAGCAACACGUGGGAACGUGCCUUUUGGUUCGGAAUAACGCAGGGAAACUCGUGCUAAUACCGAAUGUGCCCUCCGGGGGAAAGGUUUAUCGCCAUUAGAGCGGCCCGCGUCUGAUUAGCUAGUUGGGGAGGUAACGGCUCACCAAGGCUACGAUCAGUAGCUGGUCUGAGAGGAUGACCAGCCACACUGGGACUGAGACACGGCCCAGACUCCUACGGGAGGCAGCAGUGGGGAAUCUUGCGCAAUGGGCGAAAGCCUGACGCAGCCAUGCCGCGUGAAUGAUGAAGGUCUUAGGAUUGUAAAAUUCUUUCACCGGGGACGAUAAUGACGGUACCCGGAGAAGAAGCCCCGGCUAACUUCGUG